AUUAAUGAAUGAAAGAUUAUGAAAUGAAUAUUGAAAAAAAAAGGAAAAGGAAAUAAAAAAAAAAUAACAAAGAACGAAAUGCAAGAGAUAUUUUUAUUUUUAUUUCCUUUUAAUUUUUUUUUGUAUACCGUACCGUAUGUCAAGAGACGAUAAAUUUUGUGUCCUAUCUCGUCCGUUUUUUUCCAGUAAAGAAGAUCUUCAAAAGGUUUACAACUGGUGCCUCGAAAGCGAUAGAAAUGCAAAAUGACAUGAGGUAAGAGGCGACAAGAUUGCCAAAGUAAACGAUGAGCUUUAAAAGAACAGACAUAUAACAUAUGUAUGUGGAUUUAAUAUGUUUAUCUAUGAAAGCAUUUCAUUUUUCUUCUCUCUUUAUCUAUGCAACAAAGACGUUGAAAAACUUAAACGCAGUCAGCGAAGUAUUCACGAUAUAUGAAUAUAAAAUCGUAUGAUAUGAACAUAGAGUAGCAUUGUUCAAUGCUGCGAAAGGAACAAAUGAUUUUGAAAUAAUAUUAUCUUACUUUAGGCUAUUUUCUACCUGAUACAAGGUAUGGUUUAAUACAUGACAUCUUUUACUACUUUUCUUUUCGGCAUUUUACGAGCUUUUGGACUCACCAUAAAUAAGAUAAGGCAUGACGGCCGUGAAAUUUAUUUCGGAAAUAAAUUAUGUAUUUGUUUAAUAAUAAUUCAGAAAAACGAAUUCGAAUUUAAAAUUCAUAGCUAUAAAGAAUUCUCCUUAUAAUAUAAUAUUAUAUCUUGAUAAUGUUGGAAAAGAAAAAAAAAAUAAUAAUCGUGAGAGAAAUAGGACCUUACCACAAUACCGUUAUGAAGGUGCAACGGGCCAUCCAUUUGCGCAACGGUGAUCAUCAUGAUGACAGGAUGCACCAAAUAAGCACAAUAAGUUAACCGUGAUAGCGGAUACAUCAGCCUCAAAGACAGAAGGCUGUCUACCAUUUUAGCUGAACCGGUACAACACUGGAUCACGAUGAAGGCCACUGCUAUUGCCCAGGCAGUAUGACCUAAGGCCGCGUAAAUUGAACUCACUACUACCGUUAAAUUAGCUGGAUAUAAACCGUAGACCACUGAGAACAUUAUCAAUCCUGACAGCAACCAGCCUAUCAACUUUGAGCACUGAAAGUGAAAGGACGAUACUUCAAUCCUUUUGUUUUUUUCUUUUUUUUUACCUUUUCUUUUUCAUUUUCAUACUUUUUUAUCUUUUAUUAUUACAAUUAAUCAUUUCCUACUCGACUAGUCGUGGGAAAAAAAAAAAAAGAAAAAGAUAAAAAAAACGUCGCGCGAUAUUAUCGUUCUACUUUAUAUUUAGAUGGAACAAAGUUUUGGAAUAUGAAGAUUAAACUUGGUGUUGGCGAAAUAGAAAAUAAUCGUCGUUGGAGGAAGAUCGAUUCGUUGAAUCGAGGCCAUGUUUGGUAGCGCGAUGUGCCUCUUAAGAGAGGCAUACGCCAUUCAUACGAAAUAUAAUACGUCUCCCGAUAAUAUUGUGUCUAGCGGUGUCCUAUUUUCUGCUUUUUAUAAUAUCAUCUAUAGAAUUUUCAUAGAAUUGAGGAUCUUGUAAUGUAACCUUGUUGGUUUUGAAUAAAAAAUAUCCUGUAAUGGUACCAACGAAAUAAGGACCGGCUCUUAACCAAGGCUUAUCGUAGAGUUCGUCAAAAAGGGCAAAUGGUUCUUGUAUUCUAGAUUUGACAAAAAUAAACAAUACGUUUAAUUAAUGAAAAAAAGAAAAUAGUUAAGAAAAAGAGAGAGAGAGAGAGAGAGAAAAUAAAUAUGAUUGAACGAUAAUUUAUACCUUGCGAUGUAGUCAUUGGCAUAUGCUACGGAGAAAGUUGUGAAGCAAGAAGAUAUGAUAAGGACUAUCACCAGGCUGAUUACAAUUUUCUUAUAUUUGACGGAGAAAAGAAGAAGAAGUAUACCGAGAACGUAGAACUGCGUAUCGUUCGACAUAUACCAACUCCACAGCAUACACUGAAAUUUCAUCGUAGGAAUUUAAACGUAGGAAUAACUCGACGGUUAAAGUUUCAUAAUUCAAUAGAAUCAGCACAAGAAGUUUAAAGUAGUAAAAAGAUGAAUUUUCAAGUUGGAGAUGUCUUUCGAACUGUCGGGGAAAAUCUAAUUAACUACUUCGUUUCUUCGAUCAUUCGUAAAGGUGAUUUUUAUCGAGAUCCUCGUUGUCACGCUCGAUCGUGUCUCAUCGGCUCGAAACUUUCCCAUCACCGAUAGAAUUAAUUAUUGGAAAACGAUCGAAGCACCUUUCUGCGUUCCACCGAUUGGUGGAUGUAUUCGCUUGGAUUUGUCGAGGGUGCAUAGGAAGUGAUUUCGGUGACAUACAUUUGGCGCGACCAGGUGUGCUGACGAUCGUAAUAAAUACCUAUCCGCAAUUUCAUUUUCUCUAACACAAGUACUGAUCUAAUAUUAAGUCUGGACAUUAAUCGUUAAACCUCAUUAAGGAUUACACCAAUCGAGACGAUUAGCAAAUACGAACGAUCGGCGAAGCGAUGAUUCUAGAUCAACGAUUGAUUUGCAAGAUUCCGAUCGACUUGCCUUUCUAAAAUGAUUAAUAUGAUUCAUGUAAUAAGAUUAAUACAUUGAUGUAACAUAUUGCAAAAUACAUAUAUAAAAAUGUAAAAGCCAUUUUUUCCCCCCUAUAUUUAUACUGGUAGAAAAUGAAAAAAAAGAAAACAAAAAAAAGAUUACGAAAGGAUUUCUACGUAACUGAUUCGUACUGCUAACUUUUUCACCUACAUCGAUUAUAAUGUAAAAUAAUUAUGAACGACUUACCAUCUCUUUGCGAGGAUAUAAUGAGUUCAAGUAGAGAGCGUUCCUCCACCAAAAUUUGUCACAGUUCAAAUGAUUAGCUAUCUCCGGCGUAAAGACGGUUCUCGCUUGGACCUGUUUUAUAGAGAUUUCGUUAAUCCCAAGGACGAAGAGAUAAGCCGGUGUCAAUCUUCACGAAUGAAAAGGAAAAAAGAAGAAAAAAAAAAAAAUUAGAUGGAGAGUAAUCGUAACAUGAAAAUAAUUUUCAUUUAUUUCUUUCCAUUACUCUAAUAUAACUCACCUUACGAAUCUAUAGAGAAUCAUAACGAUGAACUUGCUCGUGCUAGUUUUCAGAAAAUCGUUUUUAUCAAUUUUCAAGCUUCCUAAAGAUCGAUAGAACAAGAUCGUGACCAGAAGACCACUGAAAAAUAAAACAAUAUAUAAUUUUAUUUUUCUGUUCCAUUCUGACCUGAAUUUCAUAUACUUGAAUCAAUUACCUGAUGAAAAAGAACGUAUCGACCGAGAAAGUAGCAUUGCUGAUUGUCUGGAACAUAAAAUUCCUCUCGGUGACAGUACGUAGCGUUUUAUUCUCUAAAAAUAAUACCCAUUCGUUGAUUUUAGGAGAAACAUAUGAAACGAAUUCUAGAAAAAAUGAUUACCUGCUAUAGCAAAAACUUGGAGAUACGUGUGGACCAUUACGACCCAUCCUAAUGAAAAGACUCGAAGACCGUGAAGGCAGGUCAAACUGUCUCUAGCAGCUGGCUCGGUGCUGAUAAUUUUUCCACCAUUUACGGUAGGACUGAAAGCGAGUAGACAUUUCGCCCAAAAUCCUGAAACACGUAUUUAAAAUUGACGAACUUUCUUUUCAUUCAUUUAUUUUCUUUUCUUCUUAUACGUUGUACGUAUACAAUUAAAAAAAAAAAAAAAAAAAAAAAAAAAAAAAAAUGUUAAAAAAAAUUACAAAUUUACCUCUCUCGUUAUCAUUCUUUAUCUGAAUGCUUAUAUCCUUUUGUAUAUCGUUCGAUCCUUUGUCGAUCAAUUCCUCUCCAUUUUCUUGUACGAUCGAGAUACAACUGUUCUGAGUUAAAUUUUUAUCCGUAAAAUUAAUCACUUUCUCGUUAUUGUUGGUCACGUUCGAAGACUCGAUAUCCGUGCUUUCUAUCACGAUACUUUGCUCAUAGAUCGUGGCACAUAUCAUUAAAAAAAGGAUACUUCCGCCGAUGGUGCUGGAAUUACGAAAAAAAAAAGGGAGAGAGAGAGAGAGAUUGUUUAAAAUACAAAAGUAAAAAAGAAUGAAAGGAAAAUGAAAGAAAAAUAUUCGAUUAAUAUUUAUACCUAAGUUGAAUUAAGUACGACUGUAAAGUUAGAUCGAAGUUCCUUUUAAAUGAAAUAUAUUCUAUAAAGACGGAGAAUUUCAUUUUCGUAACUCCUUAUUAUUCCAAACGGUAUUCGGAAAGGGAAAGUCUACGUCGAAUUUUUUUUCUUCUUUUCACUGUGAGAGACAUAUCUAAGACGCGCGACCUCCAAGCCAAAGAGUUGCGUCAAAAGAUUUUCUCAUUUAAACGCUUGACUUUUCUGGAUUAGAAUCCAAUUAAGUCGAACGAAUGGAAAAUCCAUUGAGUAAAUCAAAGAAAAAGAAAAAUAAAAAAGGAAAAGAAGGAACAAAAAAACUUUGCUGUUUUCGUGAACCAACGAUAUUCAUUCGACGUAACUUCUACUUACUUGUUUCGUUAGAACGAAGAGCACGAAUAAAAACUAUUAAGAAAAUUACGAAGUAAUCUUAUCGAAACGAUCUUAUAUCUAUAAAAGUAGAUAUUGAUUUUCAUUGAAUAGAGGUAUCUGUUUGCAUGAAUAUUGAAAAAAGGAAAUUGUCCUAAGUGCAAUGCUUUUUAUCGUACGUAAAAGAAAAAGAAAAAUUAGUAAACUUUACAUAGAUAAAUUGUUCGAUUGAAUUCGAAUUAUUCAUUGAACUGAACGAACAGUGACAUGGAUUUCCUUUUACCAUAGAAAUAACACUCUCACUUGGUAGGUGAACGUUUUUACUUCAGGCCGACCUUCGCAAAUUACCUACUUACUAGAAAUAAUUUUUAUCACCGUCUAGGAAAUGCGAAAGUAUAAAAAUGAGUUUUGGUUUUCAAAAAAAAAAAAAAAAAAUAAAACGAUCUAUCAAUAAAUAUAUGUGAAUUAAAAGUAAGAUAGUAAAUAUAUAUAAAAGAAAAUACGUGUCUAUUUAAUGAAAUUAUUUUCUUUUAUUGGCUCAUAACAGAUAAAAUUAUGGUAUCAUAAAAAAAAAAAAAAAAAAAAAAAAAAAAAAAAAACAAAGAAGAAAGGCUAGAGACAUUCAUUAGUAUUCUCUGAAGGCGUGCAUCUCUUCCUUCUAUUUGAUUCUCUUUAGAUUCCGUCUUUCUCUUUCUCUUUCUCUUGGGAGAGCGUCGAAAGAUGCAGCAUGAUGCAAUUUACGUUAAACCAUAAAUUUGUCGUGUCCCAUACGUCUUUACAGAGAAAUAGAGAGAAACUAAGAGAGGAAGUACUACCUAAGGGAAAUAAAAUCCCAGCGUCUCUAUUUGGGAAAUUACUCUAUAUUGUACGCUUCAAGUUACUUUCGUCAGUAGACAGAGAAUGAAACUAUCGAAAUCAUUUAGAUUAAAUCUUUUCCACUUGUUGAAAAUUAUUAUAUUUCUUCACAUAUACUCGAAGUAUAAGCGAUAAUAAAAUCUGUUAAAAUAUCUUGGGAGAUGAGGAAAAAAAUAAAAAAAAAAAAAAAAAAAAAAAAAAAAAAAAAAAAAGAGAGAAAACAAUUCAAAUAAAAAUCUUUUCUAAUCAAUUGUUUUAUCUCUUAUCUAUCCAUAUGGAUUAUAUAUUAGAAAGUUUGUAUCUCGGUAUUCUUGUAUUUCUGAAUUCGUUUGUAAAAAAAAAAUAUCUACCUAAAACCCAUGAAUUUGAGAUAGAAAGUAUUUAUAAUUGUUACAAGACUUCAACAAAAUUAUUCUAUCGUAAUUAUGGAGUGACACGCAACAAUGCAGCAGUCAAGGUUAUAAGAACAUUCGUCCGGCCCAUUUUCUCUUACGAUCGAAGAUUAUCACGAUAUAUGUAGAUAUUUAUAUUUCAAUUAUUUCGGUUGUUGCUCGUUUUAAGACCGAUCUAUGAUAAUCGAUAUCGUAUUAUCAUUACUUAUGCAUUAUAGUGCCAUAAUUAUCUCGAUAGUCGGAAACAAAUACGUAUCAUCAUGUUCUCGUUUAAGAGGUCGUUUAAAGGUAAAUAGAACAGGUUCGGGUGCAAAUUGAAUUCUUCUUAAAUUAAAUAAGAAAAAAAGAAAUAAUUUCAAAUAAAAAGUUUUUCCUUUAGAUCGAUAUCCAUGACCUGUUUGUCCUCGUUAGAUUCGACUCGACCUCAUCGAAACCCGCAUUCGUUCAAUGGAAUGCAAACGAUAAACGUGGCACUUUCACAAGUCGGACGUUUAAGGCUUUCUAUAAUCUUACAUAAUAGUUAACUGUUGCUGUUACUGCUGCUACUGCUGCUGUUGCUGUUGCUGCAAGCGAGAAAACGCGAGAGACUAGCCUAUAAUCGGGCAUGCUAUAUAAAAGGAUCUUGAAUCAAGCUCAUCAAGCUGUAUAUAUUUCCUCGAAUUACAUUCGCCCGCAAAACGAACUUGAUCCUAAUACGUUUGAAUCUUCUAUUCAUUUCAUAUUACGAAAAGCCACCACGUAGGUCGAGGUCGUGAAUAAUUCUAAAAUUAUUGAUCGAUCAAUUAAUUGUAAAAUUUUUCUUCGUAUGUUUUUUCUUCCAAUUUUUUUUUUCUUUUUUAUCAUUACUAU